rnacentral:rRNA from 1 species
AGGGAAUCUUCGGCAAUGGGGGUAACCCUGACCGAGCAACGCCGCGUGAGUGAAGAAGGUUUUCGGAUCGUAAAGCUCUGUUGUAAGUCAAGAACGGGUGUGAGAGUGGAAAGUUCACACUGUGACGGUAGCUUACCAGAAAGGGACGGCUAACUACGUGCCAGCAGCCGCGGUAAUACGUAGGUCCCGAGCGUUGUCCGGAUUUAUUGGGCGUAAAGCGAGCGCAGGCGGUUUGAUAAGUCUGAAGUUAAAGGCUGUGGCUCAACCAUAGUUCGCUUUGGAAACUGUCAAACUUGAGUGCAGAAGGGGAGAGUGGAAUUCCAUGUGUAGCGGUGAAAUGCGUAGAUAUAUGGAGGAACACCGGUGGCGAAAGCGGCUCUCUGGUCUGUAACUGACGCUGAGGCUCGAAAGCGUGGGGAGCGAACAGGAUUAGAUACCCUGGUAGU